rnacentral:rRNA from 1 species
UACGGGGGGGGCAAGCGUUGUUCGGAAUUACUGGGCGUAAAGGGCUCGUAAGCGGCCGACUAAGUCAGACGUGAAAUCCCUCGGCUUAACCGGGGAACUGCGUCUGAUACUGGAUGGCUUGAGUUUGGGAGAGGGAUGCGGAAUUCCAGGUGUAGCGGUGAAAUGCGUAGAUAUCUGGAGGAAUACCGGUGGCGAAGGCGGCAUCCUGGACCAUUACUGACGCUGAGGCGCGAAAGCCAGGGGAGCGAACGGG